AUAUGGGAUGCCGGCACUUCAGGCCAAGGCGUUAACCCACUGCGCCACAGUGCCAGCCCCAUAUUUUAUUGUUUUGAUCAUGAACUGAAAUUGCUUAAGGAAUGAGCAUGAAGAAUUCCUUGAGACAUGGAGGAAGACAAGUUCCUCUAAGAAGAUGUGAACUUGAUCCUGCUAGGCUCCUUGGAAACAUUACCAACUUGGCGGAAGUUUGAUUGUGGAAUUCAUGUUAUAAACCCUCAUAAAGGCUCACAAAUUCUCAUAGAAGAUUUUUAGGGUCAUCCACACAGUUUCAAUGUUCUAGACACAUGAUUGUUUUCAUCUUCCAAAUGCCAUUUUUAUUUUUUUCUUUGCCUUUUUUUUUUUUUAUUUGAACAGCAGAAA